GUUUACAGAAGAUUAAAAGAAUAUCCGAAAAAAAAAUACAAUGACAAGUCAGUUAUAAUGCACAAUAGAAUUAGUAAGUGUUUCAAAUAACUUAUUGAAACGAAAAUAAUUCAUAGAAUUCGGGGUGACAAAAGCUGCUUGUGUUAGGUUAGGUUAAGUGGCCACACCGCUGCAGAGGUAUUCUGUAUCUGGCGACGGCCACUUAUAGAUCCAAUCAUAGGCUGACCAACAUCCAUGACGAAGUCAACCGGAGAGUUGAAAGAUGGGAUUCAACGGGACGGGCCCGGAUCCUUCUGAAAAACUGCACAUGUGGGACACGGAUUUUCUAGUGUGGUAAGCCACAGCUUUCCUAAGCGGCAAUCCAAAAGCUGCAUAGAGAAAAUUUAAUUCGAUCACAAAUGUACAAUUGGUGAUCUGUUAGGAAACACUCCCACUACGAAUGAAUCGGAUAACAAACAAUUUAGGGAAAGAUUUUUAUCUUCGGAAAACGAAGACCUCAGAACAAACUGGGACACACGGACUGAUCCGCAAGGAAUAACAAUCUUAUGGCUUAUGCGUUCCUGUACUUAAGGGUAAGGAUGGAAGAAAGUGGUUUUUACCGAUUAAAACGAACUCUGAGACAAUUUAAAACAAAUCAACGAUUUAUUAAAGGAGGAAAGAGAGAGUUGUACAAUUUUUUGUUCUUAGAAUGGCACUCAAAUCAGAUUGAGGUAAAUUGGUUAAAGAAGUCGGAAGUAUUCGCCGCGUGGAAACAUUUCGUAUUUCCAUUCUGGAAGACACGUGUUCGAGUCUCCCCUUGAAAAUAUUUAUCUUGGGAUCUGGGCCCGGCCGUUGAUCCUCGCCUUCACAAUCCAGCUGUUCCCUCCACUGUUGUAUGCAGCCUGUGAAAGAGUUUGUUUCGCUCCUCGAUUAGUACUCUAAUAGAAUGGUAAGUGAUGUUAUUUGUUAAUAAAAAAAUGCUUAUAAUAUAAUUAAAAUAUAGUCACAUUUCGGUUCACGCGUUCGAUUCCUUCCUGAAAGUCGUUCGUAAACAAAAUCUCUU
rnacentral:lncRNA from 1 species